UACGGAGGGUGCAAGCGUUGUCCGGAUUUAUUGGGUUUAAAGGGUGCGUAGGCGGCUAAUUAAGUCAGCGGUGAAAUUCCACAGCUUAACUGUGGAACUGCCAUUGAUACUGGUUAGCUUGAGUACAGAUGAGGUAGGCGGAAUUGACAGUGUAGCGGUGAAAUGCUUAGAUAUUGUCAAGAACACCUAUUGCGAAGGCAGCUUACUAAACUGUAACUGACGCUGAGGCACGAAAGCGUGGGGAUCAAACAGG
rnacentral:rRNA from 1 species